rnacentral:lncRNA from 1 species
GGGUGCCACAGGGGAUAUUUUGAGACAAUAAUUUACUGUUUUUACAAUCUUACAGACUACAUUCUCAUGGACAGUUUUGUAGUUGAAAGUAAAUGACUCUAAGGCUCUAUUUGAUGCUGAAAAGCUGAAAUCUUCAAGUGGAAUAAUUGUCUUUUUGUGGAAUAACAGCUGCAGAAACAAACACCCAAUAUUGAGCUCAAAUAUGUGGGGUCAAGAAAGUUAUAGGAUAUUAGGAAAAAUAAGGAGUGAGCCAUUAGGUAAAUGUAUAAGAAAGAGAUGUCUGACCUCCUAGCAAGGUGGAAAAAGGCAAAUUAGUGAAAAGAGUUGUGCUGUAUUCAGGAAGGCUCACUAAAACCAGGAAAAGUACACACAGGUAGAGAUUAUUUUAUCCCAAUCACAAGUGGACUAGAGGAACUGAGCUUUUUAAACUUGAAUGUGUGAAUCACCUGGGGAAUCCUGUGAAAAAGCAGAUUGUGACUGAUGAGGUCUGGAUCAGCCCUGAGAUCGGACAAGAAUACCUCAUUAUUCAGAGGAGCUUGUUAAAAAUGCCAAUUCCCAGGCCUAAUCCAAGUCUAUGCAAUCAGAAUCUGAUAGCAAUAUCUCUAGAUGAUUCUUAGGCACAUUCAAGUUUAAGAGGCACUGAAAUUAGAGCUGGGGCUAUUUAUUGAUGGUGAUCAAACUAUUCUAGUUUGCCGAGAACUCUCCCAGUUUUAGCCUGAAAGUCUCCUCUCUGGGGAAUUCCCUGGGCCCCUGACAAAUCAGGACAAGUUAACUGGUCAUGCUAGCUAUUGAUUCCAUAAAUAGGACUGGAGUUUUCUAUGCAUGCUGUGGUGUGUUAAAGGUCAUGACUGUGACAAGUGCAUUAAACAUGUGUUUCCCAGGUUCUGCAGGCUGAAUAGUCUUGAGCAAAUCACUUCUCUUUUCCAAGCUUACUUUCCUUAUAUGUGAAAUUUAAAUGAUACCUACCUCACAGGCUAGUUUUAAGGAUUAAAUGAGUUAUAAUGUAAUUGAGCAUGGACCACAUACAAAAAAAAAAAAAAAAAAGGUUUUAAAGUGUAACAUACUAAUAUUGAAAGUUCUUAUGAAAUAAGGGACUAAGAUCUCUUUGUUAUGGUCAUGCUCUAAGUAUAACUGAUUAUAAUUAUGGAGUCAGGAUUCAACUCAAGAUAGGAAAGAAAAAAAGAAUAAGAAGAAAACAAAAAAAGGAGGGGGAAAAAAUAAAGGAAAUAAUUGUGGUGAGAAGGAUACAGAGGUUAAAAGUACUACUCUAGCAGUAGGUACUAGUCUAGCAUGACUAUUUCUACCAGAGGUUUAGAGAUGACUCAGAUGCUUUCCUUUAAAUAUUGUAUAUGUCUGUUAUUGAGCUAUUAUGGGAGAGUUAAGUAGUUGUGACGGAGGCUGCAUAUCUGGCAAAGCUGAAAAUGUUUACUAUCUAGCCCCACAGAAAAAAAGGUUGCCAACUCCUGAUCUAUGGAAUCUUAGCAAGGCCUCCAAAAAGAUCCUAUGGAACAUUUAGAUUAUGGAUAGGCUUGCCUAUACUUCUACUGUGGUACCAUCCUGUGCUUACUGAUCUAUCUUCCACAGAUGAACUGAAUGGUUAUCGAGGGCAGGAUUCAUGUCGUAUUUACCUUUCAGUCUCCAGAGCCUAACAAAGAAGGUGGUUCAUAAAAGCUGGUCAACACAUGGAUGCUGAACUGAACUGAGCUCCAAGUUGACAUUUAUGUAUAUUAUAUAUUUUAGAUGUAGGGCAGGGCAGUGAACUGGAAGAAUAAUUCAUAUUUCUUUUAAUAGGUACUUGAUCCUCUGGUUAAAGCUGACUUCUGAACUAACAGCUAAUUUGCUAUUUUUAUGUUUUUCAAAUCUACCUAUCUGGCACAUCAAUGAAAGGUAAUUAAAUUAGAGAAGUUCUCCAUUUGAGAGAGAAAGCAUUCUUGCAUCCUCCUGCAAAAUUCAAUGACCUAAAAGCAAAAGGUUGUAUAUAAGAAUAUCAGUUUGGCAAUAAUUUUAAUAUUGGAACAUGUCCAUGUCCAAAGCUUGAACUACCUUAGUUAACAUUACACAUGCCCUUUCAGUAGCUGAUUAGCCAAUGGUAUUCUAAGUAUUUACCAGGUACAAUUCAGAAGCCUAAUUUCUGUAAUGCAUUUAUUAUUCCGUAAAUAAGUCUUAGCCAUUAUUUAAAUUCAUUGCUAUUUUGAUAGCUAUCAUACUAUUUCAAUAUCAGGGAAUAAUAUGGCCAGUGGUACUAAUUAAGGGGUUAUUCUAUGAAUAACUGAUGCAUGUAUUAGUAAGCAUUGAAAGAGAUAUACUUUCUGGAGUUCCCAUCGUGGCUCAGUGGUUAAUGAAUCCAACUAGGAAACAUGAGGUUGUGGGUUCGAUCCCUGGCCUCGUUCAGUGGGUUAAGGAUCCAGUGUUGCUGUGAGAUGUGGUAUAGUUCAUAGACAUGGCUCGGAUCCUGCAUUGCUGUGGCUCCGGCGUAGGCCAGCAGCUACUGCUCCAAUUAGACCCCUUGCCUAGGAACCUCCACAUGCCGUGGGUGCAGACCUAGAAAAGGCAAAAAAACAAAAAAACAAAAAAACAAAAAAAAGGGAGAAAUAUACUUUCUUUGGUAAAUUGGAGUGUACAAAAUUUAACACAUUUCAAAUAAAUCUAACAACUGUCAAGGCCAAGACUCCUUAGGAAAAGCAUGUAUAGUAUAAAAGACAAUCGUAAAAAUAAAUCUUUGGAGAGAAAAUUGAAAAAUAUUUACCUUUUAAACAUGUAAUUUUCUCCCCACUAGCUAUUGUCAUUAGCCUGCUUUUUAAUGUUAAUGAAGUAAACCUAAUUUUGGAAAACUUUUAUAAUUCCAGACCUGUAGGUGAGAGAAAAAUAUAUUACAUUUAUAUUAAAAUCCUAGACAUGAAAUAGAGUAGAGGCCUUAUUAGCUACAUUAUUCUGCUUCAAUUCAAACUAAAGGAAAUAGAAUGUGCUUCCUAAAUUCUGGGAAACUAGUAGUACACUCAUCAACAAAAAAUUGUGUUUAUACUUUUAUUUAAAAAUUUAAUGUUUUGGCUUUUUAUAGUAAUCUUAAAGUUACAAUUUUUAAAUUGGCAUUUCUCAGGCAGGAUGAACUCUACAGGUAGUAAAUUUCCUUAUAAAGGUUUAGUAUUUCUACAGGUUGAUAAAUGGUUUUACUUCUUCUAAUAGAUGAUUAGUCUUCAUUGCUACAAGCAUAAAUACAAUUUGACAAUAGUAUUGCAGGCAGAGUUUUAGCUCUGAACAGCAUAUACAAAUAGAUUAAAAUAUAGGCUUUGCCUGCAGUGGGAGGUGAAUCUUGAUUUAAAAAAAAAAAAAUUGUGCUUUGUCAGACAGGAAAAAUUCUAGCUAGAAAUGAAUUUACCAUGUGUUGAAAUAUUGGUUUACCACGAGUUAUUUGGGCAGACUCUGCUCCAACAUGUAGGUUAUUUCCACUAAGAAAAUUUGUAAGCCGAAUAUAUGUAAUGGUUAUAUUGAUUUGAACAUGAAGUCAAAAUGUAUUAAGAGUUUAAGAUUCUAUUGACUUGCACCAAAAUUCAUUGAUGGAGGGCAAGUGGAAAUCUAAGUGUAGGAUUCACUUUUUGCAGGCUUACCUGUUUAUUGCAGGCCUUUGAAGAAAUCCUUUUCCUUCUUUGAACCUGAGUUUCCUCAGUUGUAAAAGGAGGUGCUUUGCUUAGUAGACAAAUAACAUCUGAAAAAGCUUGUCUGCAAUUUGAAUUCUAAAAAACAACCUGAUUUUGUGUGUUUGCAUAAUGCCUGAUAUACAGUAAGUGCUACAUAAAUGUUUGCUAUUAUUGUUAUUAUUAUAGAAAGCAAAUCAACUAAAUUUCAAUAACCAGAUGCUGGUUUACUUUUGGAGAAGAUUAGAAUAAGAAUAAAGGAGUUUUCAGAUAAUGUCACUCACAUUGACUAGAACUUUUAUGAUACCAAAAUAUAAAGCAUGGAAAUAAUCUUAAUCCAAAGAAACAUAAUUAAACACACUAGUUCUGUUAAUUUCACCGGUCAUCACCAUUUUUGUUUGUUUUACUCCUUUCUCCUUUGAUUGUUUGAUUUUUGUUUAAAUCUCCCUCUCUUUUGUCUUUUACUCUUUCAAUUUAGACUUUCUCUUUUUUCUCUUUUUAUAAUUAUUCACUCUCUUCUUUAAGGAUUAGCAGUUUUUACCUGUCUGCCAUUAUUGCAGAUAACCGCUUGAGGGUACACAUGAAAAUGGAUGAACAAAACAGGCUUUAGAAUGAACUCUCAAUUAUCAAGGCUUUGGUAAUCUUCAACAGGCUGGGUAAUUGUUAGGCAUACAACUCAAGAGGAGGGAGCAGCAGUACUCAGGUAGGCAAUUCCAAAAGCAUUCAGUGUGCACCAACCUUAAUU